rnacentral:ncRNA from 1 species
GGUCAUGAGUGCCAGCGCACAGCCCCGGCUUGCUGGCCGGCAACCCUCCUCCGCGGUGGGGUGCCCCGGGUGACGACCAGGUCGUGCGCACGUCCGCGCACGGCAAGCGCGGG